GCAGGCGAGCACCAGAUCCCAUGACUCGCAACACCGUGCGAAAGAUACGACGAACAGGUAAUGCAAUUACGAGAAGCAUGUAGUCAUCCUCAACUCUAUCCUGGUUAAGACGGGUUUUUGGAUUGAAUCGUCUAUUGAGCUUGUGAACCUUGAUGAACCUGCUGUUAUGGUAAUUCUUUUUUGCCCAUCUACAUUUUACUUGUGGUUGCUCUUAGAAGUUCGACGGUAAGUUAUAUUAAGUAUUGUUGAUUAUAUUUUUGCAUGAUGGUUGUAUGGAUGUUUGAUCCGCAAUGUAGAGAAUGAUAUCCUAUUGUAGCAUUUGAAUGUUGUUUCUAUGUUUCCUUGCAGGAGGGAUCUUUUCCAAGUAUAUGCUUGUCUAUGCUAUAUGUAUCAUGAUAUAAUAUUUUCUUGGUUAAUGUGAUUUGGGUUUUGGAAGUUUUAGUCACACUUUCUCGUUUAUUACUCAAUGGUCCUUCCAUUUCCAAACUGAAAAAGGUCAACUACGAAAUUGCUGGACUUCUAUAAAUCCACUAACUAUAAUGGCGACACGGGCGAGUGGAUUGCUCUAGCAUGCCAGACUAAACUAUGUACGUAUAAUGUCAUAUAUCAAGUAAUUUUUAUGGAUAUUAAAUCAUUAUACGUUUCAAUUUACUUGUGUUUUUUCAAUCAAUAAAAAAUAGCAAGAGGAAAUGAUACAUGGAGAGGCUAAACAUAAUCAGGAAGGUGCUACCCCAUUAUGAGGGGAGCAAAUGUCCGUCAAGGUGCUAAAGAAGAGAUCAGGUUAUGUGAAAGCACUUGGGUUGAGGCCUUCUUCCUCUAUUAGGACCACAUCUGAAUCUGCCACGACCCAUGAAUAUGUAUCACGCCUCGAGAUGAAGUUAAGAGGCACAAAAUGAGACCAUAGAGAAGCUUUUGGAGGCAAAUAGGCAGCAGCAGAAGAUAAAUGCUAGCAUGAUAAAGUUUCUCAUUGAAAAAGGGUACACUGGACAUGUUGGGAGUGCUAAAACAUUGUCUAAUGAUUGACUGGUUAGUAGAAUUCAUUUAUCCUUUUCAAACUCUUUUCAAUAAACUCAUAUAU